rnacentral:rRNA from 1 species
CCUACGGGUGGCAGCAGUGAGGAAUAUUGGUCAAUGGCCGAGAGGCUGAACCAGCCAAGUCGCGUGAGGGAAGACGGCCCUACGGGUUGUAAACCUCUUUUGUCGGGGAGCAAAGCGAGUCACGUGUGACUCAUUGAGAGUACCCGAAGAAAAAGCAUCCGCUAACUCCGUGCCAGCAGCCGCGGUAAUACGGAGGAUGAGAGCGUUAUCCGGAUUUAUUGGGUGUAAAGGGUGCGCAGGCGGAGGUGCAAGUCAGCGGUCAAAUUGCGGGGCUCAACCCCGUACUGCCGUUGAAACUGCAUGCCUUGAGUGCGCGAGAAGUAUGCGGAAUGCGUGGGGUAGCGGUGAAAUGCAUAGAUAUCACGCAGAACUCCGAUUGCGAAGGCAGCAUACCGGCGCGCAACUGACGCUCAUGCACGAAAGCGUGGGUAUCGAACAGGAUUAGAUACCCCAGUAGUC